rnacentral:rRNA from 1 species
UACGUAGGGUGCGAGCGUUAAUCGGAAUUACUGGGCGUAAAGCGUGCGCAGGCGGUUUUGUAAGCCAGAUGUGAAAUCCCCGGGCUUAACCUGGGAAUGGCAUUUGGGACUGCAAGGCUGGAGUGCGGCAGAGGAGACUGGAAUUCCUGGUGUAGCAGUGAAAUGCGUAGAUAUCAGGAGGAAUACCGAUGCGAAGGCAGGUCUCUGGGCUGACACUGACGCUCAUGCACGAAAGCGUGGGGA